GGUCAAGCUACAAAGGGCGCAUGGUGAAUGCCUUGGCAUCAGGAGCCGAUGAAGGACGUGAUAAGCUGCGAUAAGCUUCGGGUAGGCGCACAUAGCCUGAG
rnacentral:rRNA from 1 species